UACGGAGGAUGCGAGCGUUAUCCGGAUUCAUUGGGUUUAAAGGGUGCGUAGGCGGACCGAUAAGUCAGUGGUGAAAACCUGCAGCUUAACUGUAGAACUGCCAUUGAUACUGUCGGACUUGAGUAUGGUCAAGGUAGGCGGAAUGUGUAAUGUAGCGGUGAAAUGCUUAGAUAUUACACAGAACACCGAUUGCGAAGGCAGCUUGCUGGGCCAUUACUGACGCUGAUGCACGAAAGCGUGGGGAGCAAACAGGAUUAGAUACCCUGGUAGUCCACGCCGUAAACGAUGAUCACUCGCUGUUGGCGAUAUACAGUCAGCGGCUAAGCAAAAGCAUUAAGUGAUCCACCUGGGGAGUACGGCCGCAAGGCUG
rnacentral:rRNA from 1 species